rnacentral:rRNA from 1 species
AACGCGAAGAACCUUACCUGGUCUUGACAUCCUGGGAACCCUGAAGAGAUUUAGGGGUGCCGCAAGGAGCCCAGAGACAGGUGCUGCAUGGCUGUCGUUAGCUCGUGUCGUGAGAUGUUGGGUUAAGUCCCGCAACGAGCGCAACCCUUGUCCUUAGUUGCCAUCAUUAAGUUGGGCACUCUAAGGAGACCGCCGGUGACAAACCGGAGGAAGGUGGGGAUGACGUCAAGUCAUCAUGGCCUUUAUGACCAGGGCUACACACGUGCUACAAUGGUAGAUACAGAGGGAAGCCAACUCGCGAGAGGGAGCCAAUCCCAGAAAAUCUAUCGUAGUCCGGAUUGGAGUCUGCAACUCGACUCCAUGAAGUCGGAAUCGCUAGUAAUCGCAGAUCAGCAUUGCUGCGGUGAAUACGUUCCCGGGUCUUGUACACACCG